AUUGAACGCUGGCGGCAUGCCUAACACAUGCAAGUCGAACGGGGCAGCAAUGCCUAGUGGCGGACGGGUGAGGAAUACGUAGGAAUCUGCCCUUAAGUGGGGGAUAACCAGGGGAAACCCUGACUAAUACCGCAUGAUCUCUUCGGAGCAAAGAGGGGGACCGCAAGGCCUCUCCCUUCUGGAUGAGCCUAUGUCUGAUUAGCUAGUUGGUAGGGUAAAGGCCUACCAAGCGGACGAUCAGUAACUGGUUUGAGAGGAUGAUCAGUCACACCGGAACUGAGACACGGUCCGGACUCCUAAGGGAGGCAGCAGUGGGGAAUAUUGGACAAUGGGCGCAAGCCUGAUCCAGCAAUGCCGCGUGUGUGAAGAAGGCCUUCGGGUUGUAAAGCACUUUAGCCUGGAAAGAAAAAACUUUGGUUAACACCCAAAGUCUUGACGGUACCAGGAGAAUAAGCACCGGCUAACUCUGUGCCAGCCGCCGCGGUAACAC
rnacentral:rRNA from 1 species